CUGAGGUUCUCUCUUCUUGUCCUACGUUUAUGCUACUAAUAUAUCUUAUUUGACAUGGCCUUUUUCAUUUGUUUAACUUCUUGUUUCACAUUCUAUGGUUCAAAUGGCAUGUAUGAUUUUCAGCCCCCUUGAUCUGAUCAAAAUAUAAUAGGGCAUCAUCACAUUUUGUUGGGAAAUGAUAGAAGAGGAUAGUUUCAUUGAUGCCUGCUUAUUUGAUGCAAUUAACAUGACUGCAAAAGUGUGAUAUUUUCCCAUAGCCCAAUUUCCAUCCAGAAAAAUGUGAAGAUAAAUUCCCAAAGGCAUAACUACCCAAAUAUGUGUGUGUGCGUGCAAGGCAGGGGUUUCACAGGCUUCACCUUAAUCAAAUGCAAUUUACUUGAUGUACAUGG
rnacentral:misc_RNA from 1 species